rnacentral:misc_RNA from 1 species
AAACUGCGAUAAGUAGUGUGAAUUGCAUUUAGUGAAUCAUCGAAUCUUUGAACGCACCCUGCACUCACUGGUAUUCCGGUGAGUACGCCUGUUUCAGUAUCACUGAAAACACACAAUCAAAACAUUUUCUUUGGUUUGAUUGGCUUUGGGUCUAUCAAAAAGUUUGGCUUGUUUCUUACAAGCCAAGCGGCCUGAAAUAUAUUGUCUGGCUAAUUGCAUCGUUGAUGAUCGCUAUUAGACUUUGGCUUUUUUAAAUGAACUGGAGGUUGAUUAACCAGUUUUAGCUUUAGUCAAAUGGUCAUUGUAAAAAAAAUCUCGAUCUUGGCUAGGUGUUUAUAGCCGAAAAUUUUUUUUUGGCUAUAACCGAAACCAAUAUAAUCACAUUUAGUUAUCGAUCUGAAAUCAGGUGGGACUACCCGCUGAACUUAAGC